AUGGGACCGGCGCCGCGGGAGGUGGUGGUGAUCAGCAGCUCCGACGAGGAGGAGGAGGUGGGCUCCGGGAGGUCUUCCCGCUCGCCCGCCCCCCUGGGAUGGGCCGCGAAGCUCGGGGACUCGGCGGUGCCAGCACCGCGGAGGCAUAAGGGCAGGUCCCGCGGCGUUCGCGCCGGCAACGACGGCGGCUGCGAGGGUGAUGACUGUGUGGUUCUGGAGGGCGACCCUGAUAAGCCAGUUGCGGUUGCGGGUGCGAAGGGGAGGAGUAGGGGGAAUGGCCUGCCGGGCGAGGUGGAGAUCGUUGCGGUGAAAGACCCUUACAAGAGCAUCUCCUUGCAUUUGUGCUACUGUUUUGUAUGUGAUGCUCCAGCUCCAUGCAAGUACUGGGGCAAAGGGCUCUUGAAUGAUGAUCAUUGCCAUGCCACUGACAAGGAAACAAAGUGGAAAGUACUGAGGCAAACAUUUAAGUGCAAAAGUGUGCCAGCAUCUUAUCCAGAGGAACGCCCGAGUGUUGUGUACCCAACAAGGCCAUCCCCCAGACAUCAGGAAUAUUACGAGGAGUACACACCAGAGGAGUACUUCGAGCCGGACGAGGAGGCCACGGUGUGCAUUGGGAAUCUACCGUAUGACAUUGACAAGAAGGACCUUGCCCUGCUCUUCAAGGAUGUCGGCAUUGUCAUGUUCUCGGAGAUCAUUUAUGACAGGGAAACAGGCGAGAGCCGUGGAUAUGGGUUUCUCACCAUGAGUACUGCUGAGGAGGCCAAGAAGGCUGUGGAGAUGUACAAUCGCCGUGAGAUGGACGGUAGGCCCCUGACUGUGUACAAGACAGCUGCUACCAGAGGUGCCCGGACAGAAGAAACACCGUCUCCCCAUCCCAGUCGACCAGUGUCUUCUUCAUUCAAGAUCUAUGUGGACAAUCUUCCCUGGAAAGUGAGCAACUCAAACCUGAAGCAGCUGUUCAGUGACUAUGGUGAAGUGGUCGGUGCCAAAGUUGUUUACCACCACGGAAGAGAUGCCGGGCGCCCCCCGUUUGGAUUCGUCACGUUGGCGACGCGGCAGGAAUCGGAGAACGCCAUUUGGCACCUCAACAAGCAGGUCAGUCGGUUUGGUGGGGACGCAAACUGCGAGUGCAAGUCGCAAGAGAGGAAGGGACACGGUGAGGGUUUUAGGUGCUGGGCUUUGCAGGUGACUUGCUCUGCUGUCACCGCUGGUGGUGCCACUGUCUCGUGA
rnacentral:rRNA from 1 species